GCGGCAAAAGCUCAAAUUUGAAAUCUGGCACCUUCGGUGUCCGAGUUGUAAUUUGAAGAUUGUAACCUUGGGGUUGGCUCUUGUCUAUGUUUCUUGGAACAGGACGUCACAGAGGGUGAGAAUCCCGUGCGAUGAGAUGCCCAAUCCUAUGUAAGGUGCUUUCGAAGAGUCGAGUUGUUUGGGAAUGCAGCUCUAAGUGGGUGGUAAAUUCCAUCUAAAGCUAAAUAUUGGCGAGAGACCGAUAGCGAACAAGUACAGUGAUGGAAAGAUGAAAAGAACUUUGAAAAGAGAGUGAAAAAGUACGUGAAAUUGUUGAAAGGGAAGGGUUUGAGAUCAGACUCGAUAUUUUGUGAGCCUUGCCUUCGUGGCGGGGUGACCCGCAGCUUAUCGGGCCAGCAUCGGUUUGGGCGGUAGGAUAAUGGCGUAGGAAUGUGACUUUGCUUCGGUGAAGUGUUAUAGCCUGCGUUGAUGCUGCCUGCCUAGACCGAGGACUGCGAUUUUAUCAAGGAUGCUGGCAUAAUGAUCCCAAACCGCCCGUCUUGAA
rnacentral:rRNA from 1 species